rnacentral:rRNA from 1 species
GUGGGGAAUAUUGGGCAAUGGGCGAAAGCCUGACCCAGCAACGCCGCGUGAAGGAAGAAGGUCUUCGGAUCGUAAACUUCUAUCCUUGGUGAAGAUAAUGACGGUAGCCGAGAAGGAAGCCCCGGCUAACUACGUGCCAGCAGCCGCGGUAAUACGUAGGGGGCAAGCGUUGUCCGGAAUGAUUGGGCGUAAAGGGCGCGUAGGCGGCCUGGUAAGUCUGGAGUGAAAGUCCUGCUUUUAAGGUGGGAAUUGCUUUGGAUACUGUCGGGCUUGAGUGCAGGAGAGGUAAGUGGAAUUCCCGGUGUAGCGGUGAAAUGCGUAGAGAUCGGGAGGAACACCAGAGGCGAAGGCGACUUACUGGACUGUAACUGACGCUGAGGCGCGAAAGUGUGGGGAGCAAACAGGAUUAGAAACCCCAGUAGUCC